UGAGCCAAGAGGGACGUGGCGCUCUGCGACGCGGAAGGGAAGGCCGCGCCCCUUCCUCUUCUGGUUUUCUGGGAGAAGCCUGUGCAGCAGGACUUGGGCCGCUCUGGGUUUUCAUCUUCAAGCUCACUAAAGUUGAACGAUGACUAUCAUACUUCCGGAUAUCAUGACCACAUUUAAAGGGAAUGGUAUGCACAUGUUUGCCAAGUCACAACCCCAUGAAUCUUCCCUGAGUCUUCAUUUUUGUUUGUACCACAUCUCUAAUCCAUCAGCAAGUUCUGUUGAGCCUGUCUCCAAACUACAUCAUACACGUCUCUCAGCAGUCAGGUGAUCUCUUACAACACUGCACUACUCUACUUGAAAACAAUGGCUUCUUAUCCAAACCCCUUACUGCUUAUGUCAGGGCUCUUCAUGAUAUCUCCUCUCUUUCUGUUCAAUUAUAUUUCCUCUUCAUCAAUCAUUGUACUCAAGCCAUUUUGUUUUUUUCUGUUCUAAGAAACCAUU